UACGAAGGGGGCGAGCGUUGUUCGGAUUUACUGGGCGUAAAGGGCGCGCAGGCGGUCAUUUUUGUCGAGCGUGAAAGCCCCGGGCUUAACCUGGGAACUGCGCUCGAAACGGGAUGACUAGAGAUCGGGAGAGGAGAGUGGAAUUCCCAGUGUAGAGGUGAAAUUCGUAGAUAUUGGGAAGAACACCGGUGGCGAAGGCGGCUCUCUAGUACGGUACUGACGCUGAGACGCGAAAGCGUGGGGAGCGAACAGG
rnacentral:rRNA from 1 species